AGCUUUGCACAGUGGCAGUGUCGUAGCCGAUGAGGUUUAUCUGAGGCGCGAUUAUUGCUAAUUGAAAACAGUGUAAACCCACAAUUACUUUUGCACCAACCUAAUCAAUUCCGGGGACAUGUAUUUCUCUUUUUCUAAACAUGCCUCGUAUAGAGUAUCUCUGAAAGCAGUUAUGUAAAAGAGAAGAGAAGCUUGAGGGACUG
ensembl:snRNA U4 U4 spliceosomal RNA